UACGAAGGGUGCAAGCGUUACUCGGAAUUACUGGGCGUAAAGCGUGCGUAGGUGGUUUGUUAAGUCUGAUGUGAAAGCCCUGGGCUCAACCUGGGAAUUGCAUUGGAUACUGGCAGGCUAGAGUGCGGUAGAGGAUGGCGGAAUUCCCGGGUGUAGCAGUGAAAUGCGUAGAGAUCGGGGAGGAACAUCUGUGGCGAAGGCGGCCAUCUGGACCAGCACUGACACUGAGGCACGAAAGCGUGGGGAGCAAACAGG
rnacentral:rRNA from 1 species